rnacentral:lncRNA from 1 species
CUAUCCACUCCAGACAAAGUCCUCAUCCCUGAACGGUACAUUGACCUGGAACCGGUCGCUCCCUUGAGCCCGGAGGAAUUGAAGGAGAAGCAGAAGAAGGUGGAGAGAAUCAAGACGCUCAUUGCUAAGUCCAGUAUGCAGAACGUGGUGCCCAUCGGCGAGGGGGACUCUGUGGACGUGCCCCAGGACUCAGAGAGCCAGCUGCAGGAGCAGGAGAAGCGGAUUGAAAUCUCCUGUGCCCUGGCGACCGAGGCCUCCCGCAGGGGCCGCAUGCUGUCUGUGCAAUGUGCCACCCCAAGCCCUCCCACCUCCCCUGCUUCCCCGACUCCACCAGUCAACCCCCUAUCGUCUGACCGCCCACGGGGCGCCGACAGCAGCCAUACCAUGCGGGUCUGAGCUCUGACUGCAAGCCCUGGCUGAGGCCAAUGCUGUGAAGCUACACAGAGCCACCUUCUGAUAGCAUCCACUGCACACCUAGGGCUCUGGCUUCUCAUCCUGGCCUCCCG